AGAGUUUGAUCAUGGCUCAGAUUGAACGCUGGCGGCAGGCCUAACACAUGCAAGUCGAGCGGCAGCGGAAAGUAGCUUGCUACUUUGCCGGCGAGCGGCGGACGGGUGAGUAAUGUCUGGGGAUCUGCCUGAUGGUGGGGGAUAACUACUGGAAACGGUAGCUAAUACCGCAUAACGUCGCAAGACCAAAGUGGGGGACCUUAGGGCCUCACGCCAUCGGAUGAACCCAGAUGGGAUUAGCUAGUAGGUGAGGUAAUGGCUCACCUAGGCGACGAUCCCUAGCUGGUCUGAGAGGAUGACCAGCCACACUGGAACUGAGACACGGUCCAGACUCCUACGGGAGGCAGCAGUGGGGAAUAUUGCACAAUGGGCGCAAGCCUGAUGCAGCCAUGCCGCGUGUGUGAAGAAGGCCUUCGGGUUGUAAAGCACUUUCAGCGAGGAGGAAGGUGUUCGUGUUAAUAGCACGGACAAUUGACGUUACUCGCAGAAGAAGCACCGGCUAACUCCGUGCCAGCAGCCGCGGUAAUACGGAGGGUGCGAGCGUUAAUCGGAAUUACUGGGCGUAAAGCGUACGCAGGCGGUUUGUUAAGUCAGAUGUGAAAUCCCCGAGCUUAACUCGGGAACUGCAUUUGAAACUGGCAAGCUAGAGUCUCGUAGAGGGGGGUAGAAUUCCAGGUGUAGCGGUGAAAUGCGUAGAGAUCUGGAGGAAUACCGGUGGCGAAGGCGGCCCCCUGGACGAAGACUGACGCUCAGGUACGAAAGCGUGGGGAGCAAACAGGAUUAGAUACCCU
rnacentral:rRNA from 1 species